GAAAAGGUCCCCAUCUUCUCCAUCCACUCCAUGGUCCUGGUAUACGACAGGUAUGGGCAGAGAUUUCCACCUGUUGAAAGCAGGAAGGGCUCUGACAUGUGGAUGAGAGGCAGCAGCAUUGUGGAGAAGAGUGGAGAGUCAGCCUUCAAAGGAACAGAAACAGAGGAGCAGAAAACAAGUUCAGUUUACCUGUACACAGUGGGGAAACUUUGACUGUUGUUUGCUCAAAACCUUACUUUCAUUCAGUCAUUUUCACUUCAUAUCUCAAUAUGACAUGAAGUCAGGAGAUAAUUGUUCAUAGGCUAAGCUGCUGAGAGGCAAUAGGUAAUGCUGAUCUCGUUCCCAGACAUUAUUUUUAUUUUUGCUUGGUUUUUUUUUUUUUUUUUGUAUGCUGCUCAUAUGAACACCAACAAAUCCCUCCAUACACUCAUGCUGAACUCAUACUUUAAUAUAUAGAUAUACAUAUUCAGCACAGUCCAUUCAUCUUAUAUGAGCAGCUUCAUAGUAUAAUAAUUGUUUGAGCGUGGACUGGGUAUAAUAAAUAUCCUGCUGAGCUCAAACUAAAAAAUUGAACCAGAUCUCAGAGGUGGGGUGGGAUGGGAGAAGUGCUAUAGUUAUUUCCUAGUUUAUAAGCUUCCUUCUUUCCUAGGCAUCCCUUCCUAGCAGAAGACUUUUAAAUAGGAUAACAGAUAACAGAGUUGGAAGGGACUUGGAGCAGUGGUGAAAUCCAAAUUUUUUUACUACUGGUUCUGUGGGCGUGGCUUGGUGGGCAUGGCAGGGGAAGGAUACUGCAAAAUCUCCAUUCCCUCCUCACUCUGGGGCCAGCCAGAGGUGGCAUUUGCCAGUUCUCUGAACUACUCAAAAUUUCCGCUAUCGGUUCUCCAGAACCUGUCAGAACCUGCUGGAUUUCACCCCUGCCUUGGAGGUCAUCUAGUCUAACCCCCUGCUCACACAGGAGAUCCUGUACAAGGGAUUUGAACCGCCAAACUGCCAACCUUUCUGAUUGACAAUGAUCAUCUGACUGUAUGACAAUGAUGACAAUGAUAAUCUGACUGUAGUCUGAGGUGAGCUUUCUUGUGCCUGGUUCCAUCCUGGACCCUUUGGCCUUCCCCACCGCCUCGGAAGCCCUCCAGAGGCCACCAGAAACAGUCCGUUUCCCAAUGUCCGGUGGGCCUGGAAGGCUGGAAAAUCAGGUGGCCGGCACGCGCAUGCACGCUGCAGCUGAGCUAGGGCAACGCUCGCGUGCCCACAGAUAUGGCAUCGUGUGCCACAUGUGGCAUACAUGCAAAAGGUUAGCCAUCAUAGGCUUAAGCCCUCAGCUAAAUAGAAACUUUUAGUGAUUUUCACACAGGGCUUCCUUUCUCAUACUUCAUUGAGUCCCAUCAAUGUCCACAUCGACUUCAUAUGAUAUUUAUGUGAAUCAGCCAACUUAACCAUCUAAGACUGUUUUUAGGUCAGCCACCUGUCUGGCUGUAGCAGAUGACUUUCCUAAAAACCACCAUUGCACAUGAUUGCGCUGUAUCAGUAUCAGAACAAACUGUUUCAUUGUAAUAGGUUUGCCUAAAGCAAUGUUUUUUCCUCAACUUCAACAACCUUAAGGUGUGGACUUCAACUCCCAGAAUUCCUCAGCCUGCUCUAAAGCAACCUUUCCCUGCUGUAGUUUCCAAGUUUUCUGUGAUACAACUGCCAUAACUCCAAGCCUACAACCAAGUUGCCUAGGCAUUUGAAAUCCUAAUACAUCCAAAAGAUCCCUGAUUGAGGAAGGCUGCCAUAACCAAUUCUGGGAAUUAAAUUAAGGAUAACCUGAACCUUUUCAAGAGCCUUGGUGGCGCAGUGGUUAGAGUGCAGUACUGUAGGCUAUUUCUGCUGCCUGCCGGCUGCCUGCAAUUUGGCAGUUCAAAUCCCACCAGACUCAAGGUUGAUUCAGCCUUCCAUCCUUCCGAGGUGGGUAAAAUGAGGACCCAGAUUGUUGGGGGCAAUAGGCUGACUCUGUAAACCACUUAGAAAGGGCUGUAAAGCACUGUAAAGCAGUAUAUAAGUCUAAGUGCUAUUGCUAUCCCUGUCACAUCCCAUACAAUGUUUCUCUCUUAUCCCUAGUCAAUGGCCUGGUUUACACAGAGAACUAAGACAUAACAUACUUCAUUGGUUGGUUUUUGACACAGCAUGACAUAUGAACGUUUUUCAAGAGGCAACUGGACUUUCUUGUUUUUUCUUUGAGGACAUUUCGCUUGUCAUCCAAGAAGCUUCUUCAUCUCUGAGUGGAUGCUAGGAAAUGGAAGGUUUUAUAUUCCUUGCAGACAGCUGGCCAUUUGCAUUGUUUUAGAGAGUUGUUGAGGCCACUUGGAGGUUUAUCUGUGUCCUCAGGGUCACCUGAGUAGACACCUAACCUAGAAUCUCCAUAGGCAUGACAUAUGAACCUUAUGUCUUAGCAGUGCAUGUGGACUCUGACUUGUUCAAUAAUACUGAAAUCCAGGUUUACAUGUUUUAUAUAGGGAUGUAGCCCAUCACUUUUUCUUCCAUUAUAGAAAUGGAAGUUCAUAGAGCUCCAAGAGGAAAGGAAGUCAAUUCAGAUCUGCAGUGUAAGUAACAUCAUAGCCAUAGUCCAAAACACUGUUCAAUGUACAUAAGCUUGGCCUGUUAAGCUAUCAUAUGUCUCCUUAGCCAAAUACCGAUUUAUAAACAUUGUUGUUUAGGUGGCCUUUUUUUAAAAAAAAAAGAAGUUGCAGUGAGAAAAACAGCUAUAGAUGCCACCAUCAAUAACAAAUAUUUCUUGAA